GUUUUGGUACAUUUCGGUAUUUUUUUCACUUGCCUGUCACGCAGGGGGUCGCGAGUUCGAGUCUCGUCCAGACCG
rnacentral:tRNA from 1 species